CAAAGGCUUGGUCCUGACUUUACUAUCAGCUUUGACCAGAUUUACACAUGCAAGUCUCCGCACCCCUGUGAGGAUGCCCUUAAUCUCCUGCCCGGAGACGAGGAGCCGGCAUCAGGCACGCUAACCAGAGCAGCCCAAGACGCCUUGCUAAGCCACACCCCCAAGGGAACUCAGCAGUGAUAGACAUUAAGCCAUAAGCGAAAGCUUGACUUAGUUAAGGUUAACAAGGCCGGUAAAACUCGUGCCAGCCACCGCGGUUAUACGAGAGGCCUAAGUGGAUAGACAUCGGCGUAAAGUGUGGUUAUGGCAUAAAGGACUAAAGCCAAACACCUCCAAGGCUGUUAUACGCACCCGGAGAAAUGAAGCCCUCUCGCGAAAGUAGCUUUAUUAUUUCGCCUGAACCCACGACAGCUAUGGAACAAACUGGGAUUAGAUACCCCACUAUGCUUAGCCGUAAAAUUUGACAGUAAAGUACAACUACUGUCCGCCAGGGUACUACAAGCGCCAGCUUAAAACCCAAAGGACUUGGCGGUGCCUCAGACCCACCUAGAGGAGCCUGUUCUAGAACCGAUAACCCCCGUUCAACCUCACCUCCCCUUGUCACCCCCGCCUAUAUACCGCCGUCGUCAGCAUACCCUGUGAAGGAAAUAUAGUAUGCAAAAUGGGUAAAACCCAAAACGUCAGGUCGAGGUGUAGCGUAUGAGGAGGGAAGAAAUGGGCUACAUUCUCUAGCUUAGAGCAUUACGAAAGGGGUUGUGAAACCAACCCCUGAAGGUGGAUUUAGCAGUAGACGGGAAUUAGAGCGUCCCGUCGAAACUGGCUCUGAGGCGCGCACACACCGCCCGUCACUCUCCCCAAGUCUAUUUUUUAAGUUCAUAAAAACAAUGCCGGACAAAGGGGAGGCAAGUCGUAACAUGGUAAGUGUACCGGAAGGUGCACUUGGAAAAAU
rnacentral:ncRNA from 1 species